rnacentral:rRNA from 1 species
GAUGGACGCGGGCGGCGUGCGUAAUACAUGCAAGUAGAACGCUGAAGCUUGGUGCUUGCACCGAGCGGAUGAGUUGCGAACGGGUGAGUAACGCGUAGGUAACCUGCCUCUUAGCGGGGGAUAACUAUUGGAAACGAUAGCUAAUACCGCAUAAAAGACGAUAUCGCAUGAUAUUGAUUUGAAAGGUGCAAAUGCAUCACUAAGAGAUGGACCUGCGUUGUAUUAGCUAGUUGGUGAGGUAACGGCUCACCAAGGCAACGAUACAUAGCCGACCUGAGAGGGUGAUCGGCCACACUGGGACUGAGACACGGCCCAGACUCCUACGGGAGGCAGCAGUAGGGAAUCUUCGGCAAUGGGGGCAACCCUGACCGAGCAACGCCGCGUGAGUGAAGAAGGUUUUCGGAUCGUAAAGCUCUGUUGUAAGAGAAGAACGAGUGUGAGAGUGGAAAGUUCACACUGUGACGGUAACUUACCAGAAAGGGACGGCUAACUACGUGCCAGCAGCCGCGGUAAUACGUAGGUCCCGAGCGUUAUCCGGAUUUAUUGGGCGUAAAGCGAGCGCAGGCGGUUAGAUAAGUCUGAAGUUAAAGGCUGUGGCUUAACCAUAGUACGCUUUGGAAACUGUUUAACUUGAGUGCAAGAGGGGAGAGUGGAAUUCCAUGUGUAGCGGUGAAAUGCGUAGAUAUAUGGAGGAACACCGGUGGCGAAAGCGGCUCUCUGGCUUGUAACUGACGCUGAGGCUCGAAAGCGUGGGGAGCAAACAGG